UGCAACUUCCAUAUUUCUGGUUUUAGGCACAGAGGAGUGUUCGCUUUUGUAAAUGGCAUUGAAUAAAUUAGAAAGUUUUUAAAAUGACCUGGGGAAUGUUGUUGACCUUGUUUGGUAUAAAGAAUCGGAAGUUCAUUUUAAACUAGUACUAACAUUGAUUACAACACAAGCAGUCUAAAAUUUUACCACGUUAAAGAUUCAUCUGAAUUUAUCAAUGAACAAUAAGCAUAUUUUUACAUCAAACUGGUUGUUAUACACUGAAGUCUGGUUAAACAUCUAACAAAACUGGCAUUUAUGCUUGUUAAUUGGGGUGUUUUGCAAAUACUGUAUUGUGUGAAAUGCUCAAUUAUUUAAAUUUCAUAGUGAAUAUGAAAUACUGCUUUUUUUUAAAUUAAAUAUACUUUGGCAUUUCUGUCACACCACGAUUAUGAGCAACAAGAAUAUGAACCAUCUUUCUAUAUCAGUGUUUUUCAACAACUGCCCCUGUGCCGUGAGAUAUUGUCUGGUGUGCCGUGGGAGAGGAUGUCAUUCCACCUAAUUGGGUUAAAACUUUUUUUUGCAAACCCUCCAUCCAUUUACUACCGCUUGUCCCUUUCGCGGUCGCGGGUGGUGCUGGAUCCUGUCUCAGCUGCAUUUGGGCGGAAGGCGGUGUACACCUGGACCAGUAAUUAUAAUCCGCAAAUGUCCCGUUGUUGACUGUGUCUGGAGCUUGGCAGAGUGAUCAAAAUGUUUUCGGACGACAGCGGGAGGCAGUGUGCAGGUAAAAAGGUAUCUAACGCUUAAACCAAAAAUGAACAAAAGGCGAGUGCCGUUAUGAAAAGGCAUUAAAGCUAAAGGAUGGCUAUGCAAGACUAAACUAAAACUGAACUGGCUGCAAAGUAAACAAAAACAGAAUGCUGGACGACAGCAAAGACUUACAGCGUGUGGAGCGGCAGACGGCGUCCACAAAGUGCAUCCGUACAUGGCAUGACAACAACAAAAUAAGAAACAUUACACACAGGAAAACAACCAAAAGCUCCAAAUAAGUCACAGUGUGAUGUGACAGAUGGUGUCAGUGCAACUACUUUGAGACAAGAGCUUUGGUGAUGCAUGGUUUUACUGUCAAUAUCGGCUGCUGAGUAAAAAAUGUCAAUGUUUUCUGGUGUGCCUUGGGAUUUUUUCCAGUGAAAAAAACGUGCCUUGGCUCAAAAAAGGUUGAAAAACACUGUUGUAUGUAACAAUACCAUCAGCUGUGAGAACAUACCCGCUUGUCGAAAUGCAUGACGUCAUUGUGUGACGUCCGGAAGUGUGUGGCUAUUCUCGCGAUGGUUUGGAGCAGACGCGGGAUCUGGGACAGCAAGGAGGGUCGUGGCUGGCGGAGUGGGGUGACAGAACAGGAUUCCCUUAAUAUGAGUGAUGAUAAACCUUUUCAAUGCACUGCACCUGGCUGUGGACAGAGAUUCACAAAUGAAGACCACUUGGCUGUCCACAAGCACAAACAUGAGAUGACCCUCAAAUUUGGUCCAGCAAGGACCGAAAGCGUCAUUAUAGCUGACCAAACGCCCACACCUACACGCUUUUUGAAGAACUGCGAGGAAGUAGGGCUGUUUAAUGAACUCACAAGCCCUUUUGACCACGACUUCAAAAAAGUGGCUGAAGAUGGCGUUAAAAAGCUGCCACUGGAUUUGUCACCUCUCGCCACUCCGAUCAUACGCAACAAAACGGAAGAGCCCACAGCACAGGAGGCCAAUCGAGGUAGCCCGCUGCCUCACCCAGAAUCAACCACUAAUGAUGACAAGGACUUAUCUUUGCAGCCAGCCUCGCUGCCAACAUCCACUAUAGUCCAUCCUGCCUCCCUCCAAGUUCCCAAUGUACUCCUAGCAACCUCAGAGGCUAAUGUUAUACAGCGAGCGCUCCCAUCGCCAACAUCUAGCUCUGUUAUUACCCAAGUCCCAUCCACUAAUAGGCCUAUAGUGCCAGUGUCUGGCGCCUUUCCUGUGCUCUUACAGCUGCCUAACGGGCAGACCAUGCCAGUCGCCAUUCCAGCAUCCAUUACCAGUUCCAGUGUACAUAUUCCAAUUGUCAGACCUGUCUCCGUUGUGCCUAAUGUCCCCGGCAUCCCUGGACCCCCUUCGCCACAGCCCGCUCAAUCACAGGCAAAACUGAAAACAGAAGACUCACAGAGCCAGCAGCUUCCUCCACUAACCAACGGCGAUGUUGAAAGUGAAGUUGAAAGCAGCGCCAUAACGCACAGCGCUGCUUCUACGUCUCCUGCCCCGGUUCCAUCCCCUACCCCCUCCACAUCUCUCUCCCUGGCCCCUGCGCCCAACCUGCCUGCCCCUGAAGACCUCUCUCCGCAUUCCCUCCAGCAGCCCGCCACCUCAACCACGGAGACACCUGCUUCUCCAGCGCCGCCUGCACAAAACCCUCCGAGCACAGCGGGUCGGCGGCGCAGAACAACAAGCGAUGACCCGGAUGAGAAGCGGCGCAAGUUCCUGGAGCGAAACCGGGCUGCAGCCUCACGCUGCAGGCAGAAGAGGAAAGUGUGGGUCCAGUCCCUGGAGAAAAAGGCGGAUGACCUCAACUCCAUGAACGGACAACUACAGAGUGAAGUCACCCUGCUGAGAAACGAAGUGGCUCAGCUGAAGCAGCUCCUCUUGGCUCAUAAAGAUUGUCCUGUAACCGCCAUGCAGAAGAAGUCUGGCUAUCACAAGCCUUCAAAGAAAUUCUGCGCUGAUGCUGCUGCUGUCUCAAGAUGGUCGCUUAAAAGCAGGAAGCACCAGCGUGACCACACAAUGCAGAGAAGGUCACUUUUGCGGGUCUGGUCAUCUACAAUACAAGGUCACUUUUGCGGGUCUGGUCAUCUACAAUACAAGGUCAAUAUGUAUUUCAUUUGUCAUGGUUUUUGUUAUCUACAAAGUAAAUUUUGUAUUUUAACUACACGGUCAGUCUGUAUAUUGUGUCAUUGUUUUUGUUUCCUCAUGGUUUUUGAUAUCUACAAUACAAGGUCAAUAUAUAUUUUAUUUGUGUUAUGGUUUCUAUUAACAACAAGGUCUAUUUUGGGGGGUGUCUGAUCAUCUACAAUACAAGGUCAAUAUGCCUUUUUUUUUUUGUCAUGGUUUUUAACUACAAAGUCAAUAUUUAAUUUGCCAUGUUUUUUGUUAUCUACAAGGUCAAUUUUAAGGAGUCUUGUCUUCUACAAUACAAGGUAAAUUUGUAUUGUAUUUGUUCUUAUAGUUUUUGUUACUACAAGGUCGGUAUGUAUUUUGGGCCUUUUUUUUGUUUCCUCAUGGUUUUUGAUAUCUACAAUACAAGGUUAAUAUGUAUUUCAUUUGUCAUGGUUUUUAUCUAUUAGGUCAAUUUUAAGAAGUCUGGUAAUCUACAUUACAAGGUAAAUAUAUAUUUUAUUUGUCAUGGUUUUUGUUAACUACAAGGUCAAUUUGCGGGGUUUUGGUCAUAUACAAUAAAAGGUCAGUAUGUAUUUAGUUUGUGUUUUUUGUUUCCUCAUGUUUUUGAUAUCUACAAUUAGUCUAUAUUGUGUCAUCAUGGUUUCUAUUAACUACAAGGUCAAUUUUGGGUUCUGGUCAUUUUCAAUCCAAGUUCGAUUUGUAUUUAAUUUGUGUCCUUUUCGUCCUCAAGGUAUCUUUUGCGGGUCUGGUCAUCUACAAUACAAGGUCAAUAUGUAUUUCAUUUGUCAUGGUUUCUAUUAAUUACAUGGUCAAUUUUGGGGGGCUCUGGUCAUGUACAAUGCAAGGUAAAUUUGUAUUUAAUUAGUGUCCAUGGAUUUAGUUAUCUACAAGGUCAAUUUUAAGGAGUCUUGUCUUCUACAAUACAAGGUAAAUUUGUAUUUUAUUUGUCAUGGUUUUUAUCUAUUAGGUCAAUUUUAAGAAGUCUGGUAAUCUACAUUACAAGGUAAAUAUAUAUUUUAUUUGUCAUGGUUUUUGUUAACUACAAGGUCAAUUUGCGGGGUUUUGGUCAUAUACAAUAAAAGGUCAGUAUGUAUUUAGUUUGUGUUUUUUGUUUCCUCAUGUUUUUGAUAUCUACAAUUAGUCUAUAUUGUGUCAUCAUGGUUUCUAUUAACUACAAGGUCAAUUUUGGGUUCUGGUCAUUUUCAAUCCAAGUUCGAUUUGUAUUUAAUUUGUGUCCUUUUCGUCCUCAAGGUAUCUUUUGCGGGUCUGGUCAUCUACAAUACAAGGUCAAUAUGUAUUUCAUUUGUCAUGGUUUCUAUUAAUUACAUGGUCAAUUUUGGGGGGCUCUGGUCAUGUACAAUGCAAGGUAAAUUUGUAUUUAAUUAGUGUCCAUGGAUUUAGUUAUCUACAAGGUCAAUUUUAAGGAGUCUUGUCUUCUACAAUACAAGGUAAAUUUGUAUUUUAUUUGUCAUGGUUUUUGUUACUACAAGGUCGGUAUGUAUUUGGGCCUUUUUUUUUUUUUCCUCAUGGUUUUUGAUAUCUACAAUACAAGGUUAAUAUGUAUUUCAUUUGUCAUGGUUUUUAUCUACAAGGUCAAUUUGAAGGAGUCUGUUCAUCCACAAUACAAGGUAAAUUUGUAUUUUAUUUGUGUCAUUGUUUUUAACUACAAGGUCCGUAUGUAUUUAACUUGUCACUGUUUUUGUUUCCUCAUGGUUUUUGAUAUCUACAAUCCAAGGUUAAUAUGUAUUUCAUUUGUCAUGGUUUUUAUUAACAAGGUCAAUUUUGGGGGGUGUGGGAUCAUCUAUAAUACAAGGUCAAUAUGUAUUUUUUUUUUUGUCAUGGUUUUUAACUACAAAGUCAAUAUGUAAUUUGUCAUGUUUUUUGUUAUCUACAAGGUCAAUUUUAAAGAAUCUGGUCACCUACAAUACAAGGUAAAUUUGUAUUUUAUUUGUGUCAUGGUUUUUAACUACAUGGUCUAUGUAUUUAACUUUGUCACUGUUUGUUUCCUCAUGGUUUGUGAUAUCUACAAUACAAGGUCAAUAUGUAUUUAAUUUGUCAUGAUUUUUGUUAUCUACAAGGUAAAUUUUAAGGAGUGUGGGCAUCAAAAAUACAAGGUAAAUUUGUAUUUUAACUACACGGUCAGUACGUAUAUUGUCAUUGUUUGUUUCCUCAUGGUUUUUGAUAUCCUCUAAUCCAAGGUCAAUGUAUAUUUUAUUUGUGUCAUGGUUUCUAUUAACACCAAGGUCAAUUUUGGGGGGUGUCUGAUCAUCUAUAAUACAAGGUCAAUAUGUAUUUUUUUUGUCAUGGUUUUUAACUACAAAGUCAAUAUGUAAUUUGUCAUGUUUUUUUAUCUACAAGGUCAAUUUUAAAGAGUCUGGUAAUCUACAAUACAAGGUAAAUUUGUAUUUUAUGUGUCAUGGUUUUUGUUACUACAAGGUUGGUAUGUAUUUCGGGACUUUUUUUUUUUUAGGUUUAGGGUUUGGCCUUUGUUUUAAUGUUUUUGAUAUCUACAAUAAGUUUAUGUAUUUUGUCGUCAUGGUUUCUAUAAACUACAAGGUCAAUUUUGGGGUUCUGGUCAUCUACAAUCCAAGUUCGAUUUGUAUUUAAUUUGUCCUUUUUAUCUUCAAGGUCACUUUUGCACGUAUGGGCAUCUACAAUACAAGGUCACUAUGUAUUUCAUUUGUCAUGGUUUCUAUUAAUUACAAGGUCAAUUUUGGGGGGCUCUGGUUAUCUACAAUACAAAGUAAAUAUGUAUUUUUUGCCAUGGUAUUUAUCUACAAGGUCAAUUUUGGGGGUCUGGUCAUCUACAAUACAAGGUCAAUAUGUAUUUCCUUUGUCAUGGUUUUUGUUAUCUACAAGGUCAAUUUUAAGGAGUCUGGUCUUCUACAAUACAAGGUCAGUAUGUAUUUAAUUUGUGUCCUCAUGGUUUUUGUUUUCUACAAGGUCAAUUUUAGGGGUCUUGUCAUCGACAAUACAUGUUAAAUAUGUAUUUAAUUUGUGUCAUCAUGGUUUUUGAUAUCUACAAGGUCAAUUUUGGAGUCUGGUUAUCUACAAUACAAAGUCAAUAUGUAUAUAAUUUGUGUCCUCAUGGUGUUUGUUUCCUCAAUUUUUGAUAUCUACAAGGUCAAAAUUGGUUUAUUCCACUAUGCAAUGCAACACUCUUACCUAAUGUUAUUCAUUCAUGUGACUCAUUUCUCAUUCUUACACCCUGCAGCGCUACAACAGUACACAAGUCUUAAACAAUGUGUUAUGGGUCACGUUCCUGCUUCUCUCCUGCUGUGCGCACUGUUGAGUGCAUGGCGGAGCACAUCAAUAGGUGUUCCCUCUCCGCUGCGGGUGUGCCUCUGCAAGAGAUCUGCAAUCAACACACCUGCCCGUGAUGAGCAACCAGCCUUCAUAAGCCAGCGCGUCUUGAGAUCCGGUGCCAGAACGUAGUUUCUCCUACCAGUACACUUCCUCUUCGUCUACCUGGACCCCCUUUGGAUUCCUUCUUGCCUUCCUGGACCAAGACCUCGCUCCUGCCCUCUGACGUCCAAGCCUUUUUCUCCUUUUGGACUUCCGCCUCUAUCUCAACACGCACACUCAACACCCUCUGGUGACCACGCUCAGAUAAUACUUACACAUAGUCACACUCCAUCUCUUUAAGGUAAUCACACACUGCACUCACAUACUGAGUUGUCAAUAAACACGCUGGCAGCUAA